GGUGUCAUUGAACUUAAUAGAAAAGCUGGUGUAAAUCCAGCACGGUCCCGCCGCUGUAAAGAGGAGCAUGUUGCAAGAUGUCACUGUAUCUCACCGAUAUGGGAAGGCGCAACAUGGCGAUGAAUCUGAGUCAGAAGAACUGCCUGCGUAUA
rnacentral:ncRNA from 1 species